CAAACAUUUCCCAAAUAGCAAACUGCACUGUGCCAAGCAGCGGGCAGAGCCCGAGCAUCUGUUUCAGCCCUGCUUCAGGGUCACCAUAGCCAGAGUGAAUGCUGAAGGGCCUUCGUAGGAGCCGUGUCCACUGGCAGGUGCUUUUACUCAGUCAGAGUCAGAAUCCAAGUCAAGCCUCAAGCUGAUCUAAGGGCUCAGCAGUGGCUCUCUGGCGCUCAUGGGAUUUUCACUCGAUGCCUUCCGGUUAUUAGCUUCCAGUAUCCAGAUGAUACCCGACGGUGAGCUGACUAUGAAGUCCUGACUGACCUCACCUGUCUGAUCAGAUCUUCUGAACUAUUGUGGUCUAACACCAUUAUUCUUGGUUUCUUCUGAAUUAAUGGCUCAUGCUGUGUCUCUUGGUUUCAGUUGCACCAUAUUAAUCUGAUUCUCACCAAUUCGGCAAAUAUUAUCUAGAGGCCAUUAAGGAGAAAAGAUAUUUAACAAAUUCUGUGAUAGACCAAACUAGCCAGCUACUACACUACAAUAAAUAUUUAAGCCAUUAAAUCAUACCUUGUGAACAAAUGGAAUAACAAAA
ensembl:lncRNA